rnacentral:rRNA from 1 species
CCUUGGUGAAGAUAAUGACGGUAGCCAAGGACGGAAGACCCCGGCUAACUACGUGCCAGCAGCCGCGGUAAUACGUAGGGGGCGAGCGUUGUCCGGAUUUACUGGGCGUAAAGGGUGAGUAGGCGGUUGCAUAUGUCAGAUGUAAAAGGCACAGGCUUAACUUGUGUUAGCAUUUGAAACUGUGUGACUUGAGUGCAGGAGAGGUAAGUGGAAUUCCUAGUGUAGCGGUGAAAUGCGUAGAUAUUAGGAGGAACACCAGUGGCGAAGGCGACUUACUGGACUGUAACUGACGCUGAGUCACGAAAGCGUGGGUAGCAAACAGGAUUAGAUACCCUGGUAGUCCACGCUGUAAACGAUGAGUGCUAGGUGUUGGCCAGCGAUGGUCAGUGCCGAAGUUAACACAAUAAGCACUCCGCCUGGGGAGUACGGUCGCAAGACUGAAACUCAAAGGAAUUGACGGGGACCCGCACAAGCAGCGGAGCAUGUGGUUUAAUUCGAAGCAACGCGAAGAACCUUACCAAGGCUUGACAUCCCCUUGACCAGUGCAGAGAUGUACUCUCUCCUUCGGGAGCAAGGGUGACAGGUGGUGCAUGGUUGUCGUCAGCUCGUGUCGUGAGAUGUUGGGUUAAGUCCCGCAACGAGCGCAACCCUUAUCCUUAGUUGCCAGCAGGUUAAGCUGGGCACUCUAGGGAG